rnacentral:rRNA from 1 species
GAUGAACACUGGCGGCGUGCCUAAUACAUGCAAGUCGAACGCACAGCGAAAGGUGCUUGCACCUUUCAAGUGAGUGGCGAACGGGUGAGUAACACGUGGACAACCUGCCUCAAGGCUGGGGAUAACAUUUGGAAACAGAUGCUAAUACCGAAUAAAACUUAGUGUCGCAUGACACAAAGUUAAAAGGCGCUUUGGCGUCACCUAGAGAUGGAUCCGCGGUGCAUUAGUUAGUUGGUGGGGUAAAGGCCUACCAAGACAAUGAUGCAUAGCCGAGUUGAGAGACUGAUCGGCCACAUUGGGACGGAGACACGGCCCAAACUCCUACGGGAGGCUGCAGUAGGGAAUCUUCCACAAUGGGCGAAAGCCUGAUGGAGCAACGCCGCGUGUGUGAUGAAGGCUUUCGGGUCGUAAAGCACUGUUGUAUGGGAAGAACAGCUAGAAUAGGGAAUGAUUUUAGUUUGACGGUACCAUACCAGAAAGGGACGGCUAAAUACGUGCCAGCCGCCGCCGUAA